UCAUUCAGAAGCUCUCACCAUUCUCGGUUCUCUUGUCUGCUUUCCAAAUACCUACCGGGACAUCCCUUUACUGCAGUCUGUGCCAGAAGUCAAGAAAGUCAUCACAGGAACUGAAGAUGUCAAGCAUUACCUCAUAAAUAUUUUACUGAAGAAUGCCACAGAGGAACCAAAUGAAUGUGCAAGAUGCAUUGCCAUUUGCUCCCUCGGGGUCUGGAUAUGCGAAGAACUGGCACAGUGUACAAGCCAUCCUCAGCUGAAAGAGGCCAUCAAUGUGAUAGGCGUCACU